rnacentral:lncRNA from 1 species
AGCUAAACCAUUGCCACUUUUAUCCCUUUUGUGCCGCGAGCUCUUACCUACGCUCUUGUUGGCUGGAGGCUUUCGGGCAGGGAAACGGGUAAACGGACGCGCGCAGGCAAGGCAGGCGCGGUGGACAGGGGGCUGGGCCGGGCAGGGGCUGUGCCGACCCUGCUUCUGGGUGGGAGCGGCCUGUCUUCUCUCCGAGGGUCUGAGAGCACCCGCACCCACCUUCCUCCCCUAGGGCAUUACGGCGUAGGGGAAGGGCGUCCGGAAUGGGAGCGCGAGAUCCACCGCCUGCAGGUACACAGUUGGCCUGGCCCAGUGCUGCGCGUCCGAACUGCACCCAAGGGGCAACACCCACACCUGCCAAGCCCGCAACACCUGUGGCAGCACCUUGCGCUAGGAGCUUCAGAAAAAGCGCAACAGGAAAGGUUCCCAACCCCCCAGCAACGUCGCCGAGAACCUACUGCACGAGGCCACUCCAUAGCCCAUGUUUCCUGUACUGGGGGGUCUGGCAGCACUGCCUAGGGUCUGUUUAAGCUCUUGGCCUUCACAGAGAGCCAGGCACCCUGAAUGCAGAUCGUUCUACCCAGGGGACCAGAUGGUGCCAGGGGAGGAAAGGCUGUCACAGGGCCUUGCAGUCAGGUGGACAAAUAGCAGCUGUGGACACAAACAUCUUCUGCUCAUCCGAGUGAAGAUUUGGGCUAUAAGGAAACUUGCUGCUGAGUCUUCUUGGCCUGGGCUCCGCCAUGGCUAGUGGCUCCCCUGAUGGUCGGUGGAAGGACUGAGAAAACCGAUUCCACCAAAGGUCUAUUUCUCAUAUUUUAUCUUGUCUAUCACGAUGAGAGGAGACAUUCUGAGGCCACCUACUCUAAAAGGAGAAUGGCAUCUUACCGAGUAAGAAUGAGGACUGCAAGAGGAGGGGGCACAAGAAGCCUGAGAGGAAAAAAAGCAGUGAGACAUCUUCAGUCUUCCAGCCAGGCAUGGGAAUGGUCCUCCCCAACCCCUGCUCUGAGUUGCUCACCUCCAGCAGUCCUUCCCAGAUUGAACACAAGCGAGCAGCUGACAGCACCUUGGAACCCUGUGUGGACUUGCUCACUCCCGCAGGGAACAGGAGACUUCUCUGCUCCUCUGCUGUCUCGGUAACUUACUGUGAAUGUGGGCAGAAGGAUGGCAUUUUCAGGAUGGGAGCAAAGAACAUUUCACGGAGUAUGCAUUGGAUUUGAGCUUGCCCUUGAGGAUCUGGACAAGAGGAAAAGGUAAGUUGCAUGGCAGCAACGGGGAGGGAUGUGGCACAGUCUGGGAGUG